AUUGAACGCUGGCGGCAUGCUUUACACAUGCCAGUCGAACGGUAACAGGCCGCAAGGUGCUGACGAGUGGCGAACGGGUGAGUAAUGCAUCGGAACGUGCCCAGUCGUGGGGGAUAACUACUCGAAAGAGUAGCUAAUACCGCAUACGAUCUAUGGAUGAAAGCGGGGGACCGUAAGGCCUCGCGCGAUUGGAGCGGCCGAUGUCAGAUUAGGUAGUUGGUGGGGUAAAGGCUCUCCAAGCCAACGAUCUGUAGCUGGUCUGAGAGGACGACCAGCCACACUGGGACUGAGACACGGCCCAGACUCCUACGGGAGGCAGCAGUGGGGAAUUUUGGACAAUGGGCGCAAGCCUGAUCCAGCAAUGCCGCGUGCAGGAAGAAGGCCUUCGGGUUGUAAACUGCUUUUGUACGGAACGAAACGGCUCUGGUUAAUACCCGGGGCUAAUGACGGUACCGUAAGAAUAAGCACCGGCUAACUACGUG
rnacentral:rRNA from 1 species